UACGGAGGGUGCAAGCGUUAAUCGGAAUUACUGGGCGUAAAGCGCAUGUAGGCUGUAUGGCAAGUUGGAGGUGAAAUCCCACGGCUCAACCGUGGAACUGCCUUCAAAACUACCAAACUAGAGUGCGAGAGAGGAUAGCGGAAUUCCAGGUGUAGGAGUGAAAUCCGUAGAUAUCUGGAAGAACAUCAGUGGCGAAGGCGGCUAUCUGGCUCGUAACUGACGCUGAGAUGCGAAAGCGUGGGUAGCAAACAGG
rnacentral:rRNA from 1 species